rnacentral:rRNA from 1 species
CGGUGAAUACGUUCCCGGGCCUUGUACACACCGCCCGUCAAGCCAUGGAAGCUGGGGGUACCUGAAGUCGGUGACCGUAAGGAGCUGCCUAGGGUAAAACUAGUAACUGGGGCU